ensembl:lncRNA
ACUACAUGGCACUUACUCGUGGGACGGCUGCUCUCACGUGUCAGGACGUGUGACAUGUGUACGCAGCAGCAAUGACAACUGAAAUACACCUGAAUCUAUCCCAGGGUUUAUUCUUCUGUAUUUGGAAGAUGUGUUUGUGUACAGAAUUUUCACCAGAAAGUUUUUAUAGCAAACUUUUUAUGUCAGAAGUUUAUUUUAUUGGUAAAAUAUUAAAUAAUAUACAGAAUUAAAAACUGCACUUACACUUCUGAGAAGAAAUAAAUCUUGGACAAAUUAUAUGCUUGUUCCUGAGAUUCCCUAAAUUUAUUCCAGUAGCUGUGCACUCAGACAGUACAAACCUUUAUAAUAUAAUCCUUUUCACAAAGUAUUACAAAGUUUCUGCAGCUUCUUUAGUUGUACACACAUACAGACACACACUCACACAUGCAUAUACAACACUCAUACACAUAUACACAGUACCCACAUACAUGCACAGAACAUGUAUGCGUGUGCAUUAAAAACAAAGAAAAUACAAGUCCCACAUUUUAGUCCGCAGUGAUCAAAGUGUUCAGCGGAGGGCUCCAAACUGGUAUAGAGCAGAGUGGCUUCUCACACAGCUGCAAAGACUGUUGCAGUAUUUCCAUAGUAAACCUCAUUUUCUGAGGUAUAGUAUUUGAGCCUUAAAAAAACUACAUUACACUGAGCAAACCUGACAUACAAGGUCUGGAAUUUUAAUUUUACAUAUAUAUUUAUAUAUAUAUUUCUUUUUUUAAACAAUAGUUUUUAUUUCCCCAAAUUAUUAGUUUUGAAAAAAAAAUGAGGUUUACUGGUUUGACCUAUUUUUUUCUUUUUUUUGCUUCUAAAACUCAAAAUAUCCUAGGAACUGUCAAGCAAUUAGUUUUUAAAGUAGUCUAAUUACCUUUGGUAUUGUUAAAGAAAAAAAAUCUAAAAUGGCCAAGACACAUACUGUACAAAUGCAGUAACUGCCUUUAAAAGAAAUGCCAAGGAAAUGUUAUCUUUUAACAAAAUAUGUAUUUACAUUACAGCAGUUUUACUACAGGGACAUAGAUAUAAAAAAAGAAAACCAGCAUACUACAUAUAAAUAUGGAUGAUACAAAAAAUACUUCUUACUUAAAUUUGUAUGAAAAGAGGAGUGCUCCAAAUAUUUCUUAAAAAUUGUCUCCAAUAGGUGAAAGAUAGGUGUUUAAAAUUGACCUAAGUGCUUCGUUUUUAAAGUUCAUUUGCAAAAGAGAAAAGUGAAAUAAAAAAAUAUUAGGUUCUUAAUUUAAAACACUGGGCAAGGAUCUAAGCAGAAAAUUCAGACUUUAAGAAUUUCAACUUUAGGACACAUUUCUCAGGCAAAAGCUGACUAAUUUCAAUAGAAAUUUAGCCUAAAUAAAGAUACCAGGAGAUUAGACCAGUGGUUUCUACAUUUUCUAAUCUUUUCACUGUGAGUGUUUUUCUCUUUGCUUUUUGAGUCCGUUAACCAACAUACCAUGAUGUUCAAGGGUUUCUUUUUGUCAUUAACUAAAGAAAGAAUAAGUCAGAAAAGAAAAAAAAGACAACCAUCGUUUUUAAGACUUCAAGGAAAGUAUUGCACUUGUAUAGAAAGAAAGAAAAAUACUUUUAAGCUAAACAGCAGAAGCAAUCAUUCGGGGAUUGCAAAUAACACAUGGUCUAAAAGGUCCGACAAUUAAGAGCAAAUAUGGAGCCCGGAGAGCCCCUCCACCUGGAAUAUUAUCGUGGUAACGUUAAAGCAUUUUCUCCCAACAGGGAGACAGUUAAGACUCUUUGCUUUAAAUUUUAACUUCUCUCUAAAAUCCUGCCAAAGACUGUUUAAUCUCUCAUAAUAUACAUUUUAGGAGGAAAACCAAAUCAGAACACAAAAUCUAACAAAAAAGGAAGGCAAACAUACCAUGUUAUGAUUACAUAACCUCUGAAGUCAUAUUUUAGGUACUCAACAUUUGAAAGUGAAAGUAACACAAGGGUUAUAUACCUUACUAUUUUUAAUCCAACUACUUUUCU